GACGAACGCUGGCGGCGUGCCUAAUACAUGCAAGUAGAACGCACAGUUUAUACCGUAGCUUGCUACACCAUAGACUGUGAGUUGCGAACGGGUGAGUAACGCGUAGGUAACCUGCCUGGUAGCGGGGGAUAACUAUUGGAAACGAUAGCUAAUACCGCAUAAUAUUAAUUAUUGCAUGAUAAUUAAUUGAAAGGUGCAAUUGCACCACUACCAGAUGGACCUGCGUUGUAUUAGCUAGUAGGUGAGGUAACGGCUCACCUAGGCGACGAUACAUAGCCGACCUGAGAGGGUGAUCGGCCACACUGGGACUGAGACACGGCCCAGACUCCUACGGGAGGCAGCAGUAGGGAAUCUUCGGCAAAGGACGAAAGUCUGACCGAGCAACGCCGCGUGAGUGAAGAAGGUUUUCGGAUCGUAAAGCUCUGUUGUAAGAGAAGAACGGGUGUGAGGGUGGAAAGUUCACACUGUGACGGUAUCUUACCAGAAAGGGACGGCUAACUACGU
rnacentral:rRNA from 1 species